rnacentral:tRNA from 1 species
GGGAAUGUGGCUUAGUGGUAGAGUGCUUGCCUAGCAAGCAUGAAGCCCUGGGUUCAAUUCCUCAGUACCA